CUAGCCAAGAUGAACUCUAACAUGUAAGAGGAAUCCCUAGUUUGGUUCAUUGAAAUUUACUUGUUACACUUGGCUUAUGUGCUUU